rnacentral:lncRNA from 1 species
CAAGUCAUCUUAGGACAUUUUAAGCUCGAAAUUGUGUAAAUUCUAAAAAUUAUUUCUCAAUAUCCCAAUCUUAUAUUAGGUAUCUUUAAAUUGCAUGAACAAUAAUCUGCCCUACUUUAGCAUGGCUAGAAGGUGAUUCUGGAUCUCACAUCCCCGUUAAAAGAAAAGGAUGUAUACUUUUGUUGUAAGAUCUCUAUUUAAAAAUCUUCUUCUAUUGUACUCUUUCCACUAGACGAUGAUAUGUGGAAUUAUCAUCCAUAAAUUUUUUUUUUUUUGUCAAUACAUCAACUAAUAUUUGUUUAAUUGAUUUAUCACAGGAUCACAAACUACUGCACUUUAUCCAAUGUAGAACAUUUGAGCCUAAAAUAUUCUUCAACAUUGAAAAUUAUUCUCAGAAUUUACUAAAUGACUUCCAAUCGAAAUAUUAAUCUUGCAUUAUAAUUUGCAAAGAUCUAAUAUUUCACAUUCCAAGUAAACAAAGGGGAAACUCUUAGAUCUCAUUUCUCAAAUAUACUUUCUUUCUAUAUAAUAGUUGCCUGCAUAAUUGUCAUACAGAUUUUAUCCUUNN